GAGGGUAACAGCUCAGUGGUAGAGUGCAUGCUUAGCACGCAUGAGGUCCUGGGUUCAAUCCCCAGUACCUCCA
rnacentral:tRNA from 1 species